AUGGACAACAGAAUGACGUAUCCAAGAACGGACAUGCCACUCAGAACCGAUGAAAGUUUCAAAAAUAAGACAGAUUCAGAUCACCACCUUGGCAUUUCACCUUUAGAAAGAACAUCUUCGGGAAUGGUCUCUGGGUUCCCUCUUGAUUAUAUGCACCUUGUGUGCCUAGGUGUCAUGCAGCGACUUCUUCACCUGUGGCUGAAGUUAGGUCCUCUCACUUGUAGGCUGCCUGGGUUUCAGCAAAACCUAUUAACAGAGCGACUGCUGGGUGCUCAGAGCUGCGUCCCUGUGGAGUUUGCAUGUAAACCAAGGUCUCUCAGAGAAAUUGACAGAUGGAAAGCCACAGAAUUUAGGCAAUUUUUAUUGUACAUGGGCCCUGUCCUGCUCAAAGAUGUACUGCACACCGCAGUGUAUGAAAAUUUUCUGCUUUUGUUUGUGGGAAUUUUCAUACUCAGCAAUAAUAGCGUGAUCGAGGACUACCUGGGCUAUGCCAAUGACAUAUUGGGUCUUUUUGUGUCUCAUUUUGGAGAGCUGUAUGGCCCUAAAUUUGUCUCCUACAAUGUUCACAAUUUAGUGCAUCUUGCACAAGAUGUAAAAAACCAUGGUGCUCUCGACAGCUUCAGUGCUUUCCAAUAUGAAACCCACCUGAAUAAAAUUAAAAAGCUCAUUAGGAAACCUAGCUGCCCUCUGAGUCAGAUUGGAAAGAGACUAUCAGAGAAGCCAUGGAGUGACAGCAUGGAGAAAAAGACAAGUGUGUCAAAAGAACAUACUUCUGGUCCUCUUUCACCACCUUUCUGUGGUGCAACACAGUACAAAGAGCUGGCAACCUCACUCUUCACUGUCAAACUUGACCAAGCCAACAGUCAUCUUUAUUUGGGGGGGAAAGUUGUCAAGGUUAAAAAUAUUAUGUCUUACAGGAAUGAAGUAUAUGUUGCAUACAGUACAUUUGAGCAGCAUGAACCAUUCUUUCAAUAUCCAGUCAUCAUCGACAAUUGGCAUACAUUUGGUCCACGGACGAUACAUUUGGUCCACAAGAACGAUAAACUACUGCAAAGUAAACCAAAUAGAGGGGAAGGCCUUUGUUAUUCCAUACAAAGACAAAUUUGUGUCAAUUCCACUUUUGCAUACAAAACAGCAGUAAAUCACCAUUCAGAACUUGGAAUCAUAUGUUAUAUAUAUUUUUAA
ensembl:lncRNA